GUGUACUUGAUGAAAAAAAAGAAAGAAAGAAGAGGUGACGAGGCAAAGGAAAUUCUGAUUGAAAGGAAACUCACACGCUAUAUCCAUUUGAGAGCUAACCACAGCUCUUAACACAGCUGCGUAGAUGCAGAGGUAAGAUAGCCUGCUCAGAUAACAGUCUCUUUUCAGAAUGCAAAAUUUUUAAUAUUAUUGUUCUCUGACUACUUUUCAGCAAACCUUUCUAUUUACUUAAGCUGAAGAGGUUUAUUUUCUGAAUGCCUAUUUCUCUUGUUUUGCCACUGAGAAUUAUAUUUCAGGGGUGAUCGUGAUCCCCUGCUUUCCAUAAGUGAAUGGAAAGAAAUCUAUGGGGUUUUGCAGAGGGAAUAUCACAUAGUGUUAAAAGCCUCUUUAUAAUAGCUGAUUUAUGUGCUGGCAUCCUUUAUUACAAAAUGUGAAGUAAAAGUAAGGCUCUCUGUAAAUGGGUGAUGUAAAUGCUACCUGGACAGUCCCCUCCCUGAGUUGUUUAGUGGAGAAUUUAAAUUAUAAUCAAAUUUACCUCCCCCUUUUAACAUUCUACUCUAAUGCUGUCUUGCAAUAAAUAUUCCGAAACUGUAAUACUGGCUUUGUAUUCCAAUACGCCAGUCACAGAUGUUCAUUUCACCAUAAUACCCUAAUAGAGCGAUUUGAUGCACGUCUGUCUGAAAUUCAGAGGGACUUACUUGCCUGCAAGGGGGCAGGAAGUGUACAUAGGGUUGCAGCCUAAGAUUUCUGCAAUACCUUUUUUAGUAUUUUGAAUGAAAGCUACAAUACCAUCCUAUUUCAGAAGACAAUUAUUUAUUAUUUCAUUUUAUUUAUUAGAUUUAUAUACCGCCCUUCAACAUAAGUUCUCAGGGAGGUGCACAGAAUAAAAUACAGGACAAAAACAAGUAAAUAAGCUUUUCAGUCUAUUUAUUAGAUUUAGAUAUAUAAUCUUAAAUGACAGAUAAAGAUGCCACUGGGUUCGCCAGUGAAACAUUUCCUUGCGAUGUAGAAAGAGCAAUUAUUUACCUUAGUAUUUUGUAGCACCCCGUCAAAGUAAUAAACAUUGUCUUUCUCAGCAAUCCCAUAGGCAACACAGUAUCUGUGGUUUUCCCCAUAUUAUAGAUGGUGAAUGCCAAUUGAUAGCAGAACCCAGAAAAUCCAAUGGCUAAACCAAACUCAGAACCCGGAACUUCCAGGUUUAUAGAGGGUGCUCUUAAUAACCACACCAAACUUGUACUUGUUAUGGGAACAUUGGUUCACCUAGAUCAGUAUUCUUAUUUUUUUAAAAAAAACACAAUAAAUUUUAUUUGGUUUUUAAAUAAAUGCAAAUACAAUUGCCUAGACUGAACGCUUUGCAUAAGCCCCUACUUUUACAUAAAUCUGUCUCUGGGUUUUCUGACAAAAAGCUUUUCACAGUCCUAACUGGAGUUGGCAAGGAUCAAACUUGGGAACAUGCACCUAGCCUCCUAUCAGCUGCAAUGCUGUGCUUACCAGGAGGGAGAGGGGUGAAGCGAGAGCCACUGCUGCUCCUGCCUUGCACUGAGCUUCCAACCACCACACCCUUCCUCCCAUCUCUGCCAGUAAGCACUGUGUGAUGCAGUCAAGGGGAGGUCAGGUGUGUGGCAAUACACUUCCUUGCCAGCUGUCAUUGUGGGGACCUGCAGAACAGCUGCUCUAUCCCUGAACUCUGGCACUUAAAUCUCUAUAGGUGGUUCUACAACUGAGAGCCAGUGUGGUGCAGUGGUUAAGAGUUGUGGACUCGUAAUCUGGUGAACCGGGUUCGCGUCCCCGCUCCUCCACAUGCAGCUGCUGGGUGACCUUGGGCCAGUCACACUUCUCUGAAGUCUCUCAGCCUCACUCACCUCACAGAGUGUUUGCUGUGGGGGAGGAAGGGAAAGGAGAAUGUUAGCCGCUUUGAGACUCCUGAAGGGGAGUGAAAGGCGGGAUAUCAAAUCCAAACUCUUCUUCUUCUUCUACAACAAUGUUCUUCAAGGUUUACUCUGGAGAACCCUGAGAUUCCUUGGAAGCUUCUGGGUGGCGGCUGAUGCUUCCUUGAAAGGCAGACUGCUGAACAACCACCUUCUCCUGUAAUGUGCAGCUACGGUGUGUGUGUGUGUGUGUGUUCAGUGACUGCUGGGCCUGAGCCAAAACAGCAGUCCUACUUUGGGACAUUCUGGGUUUUUUUUGUUUUUUUAGAUUUAUUUUUUUUAUUAGGAAUUUAGACAGAGCAUGUUAUAUUAAAACAUAUCAUCCUUAAUUCCUGACUUCCUAUCUCUGGUUUCUCUAUAAAUGCUAUUCUCUGCAUGUUUCAAAAUUGUAUAAAUCCUUAAUUUGUCUAACUGGUUAUUAUCAAUAAAAAGUUUGUGAGUGUUUAUUCAAAGCCUGCCAAGGAUUCCAAUUCACUUUGUUUGAUCUUUAGAUACUUUGUACAGUGGUACCUCAGGUUAAGUACUUAAUUCAUUCCUGAGGUCCGUUCUUAACCUGAAACUGUUCUUAACCUGAAGCACCACUUUAGCUAAUGGGGCCUCCUGCUGCUGCCACGCCGCUGAAGCCCGAUUUCUGUUCUUAUCCUGAAACAAAGUUCUUAACCUGAAGCACUAUUUCUGGGUUAGCGGAGUCUGUAACCUGAAGCGUAUGUAACCCGUAGCAUAUGUAACCCGAGGUACCACUGUAAAAGGUUCCCUUUCAUCCUUAAAGUCACAGUUAUCCUUGUCCGGUAAUUUAUGUGUCAGUUUUGCCAGUUCUGCAUAGUCCAUCAAUUUCUCUUGCCAUAAUUCUUUAUUCGGGAUUUCCUCGUUCUUCCAUCCUUGUGCUAUUAAGACUCUCGCCGCUGUUGUCGCAUACAUGAAGAUAUUUUUCAACUUCUUUGGCAUACUUUGGGACAUUCUGGAUAUUUUUCAAGGUGGGCAGAGUUGGUGAAUUGCUGGGAGGUGUGGCUCCUUCCCUUCCCUUUCUGAAACAAAAUUCUCUAGGGGUUUUGCAAAAGGGAAAGCAGCUCCUGGGAAGGAGGAAUCAUGUGCGGGAGCCGAGGCUGAGAGCCAGAGAUUCUGCUUAGCUGAGCAGGUCCAACUUGAUAUGAUGGGGAGGUUACAGAACGAAGCUGUAGCAGGUAUAAUACGUUCUUUACAGAAGAGGCGCAGAACCUAUGGCCCUCCGAAUGUUCCUGCUCUGCAACUCCCUCACCCCUAGAAAGAUCUGAUGGGAGUUGAAACCCAAUAAUAUCUGAAAGACCACAGGGUUCCUACCCCCUGACUUUCCCACCACAAAGCCCUUUCCCAUUGGCUAUAAAAUACUCCUGUUUGCCUGGGCUAUCUUUCCACCUAGCAGCUGCCUGGAACAAGUGAGUUUCAAAGAGAGUUGGCCACUUAUUGUUUUGUUUUGUUAUGUUUUUACAGCUAUAGAAAAUAAUCCCAGGGAAAUAAAUCAGGCGAUCUCUGCCAUGAAGGUUCAUUGCCAAACGAAGAAACGCAGUGGUAGAAAGCAAUGCUAAUACUCUGUUAUCUUUUUCUGACGUUAAUAGAAAGAGCAGAAGUCAGAGGUUUUAGAGGUAAGACAUUGUGUUAUACUCUUCCUUAACAUGCUUUAAAUGCUGAUUUUCAAAGGUGGUACAGUCCUCUCAGCCCACAUUUUCAUGUUUUGAGACUACAAUUCCCAUCAUCCCUGACCACUGGAUCUGCUAGAUAGGGAUGAUGGGAGCUGUAGUCCCAAAACAGCUGGAGGGACAAGUUUGAGGAAGCCUGGUCUAAUCCAACGCCCUGCAAUGCUCACAGGCCAUUGCAUGUUUUAUGCCUGCAUUGAAAAGUUUGAAAACUGUCAUCAUCGCAGUGGCAGGUUUUUGAUAUUGCUCCCCUGCAUGGGGAGGCCUUCAAGUAAACGACAAGUCAAUGUAUUUUCUUUGACAUUGACUAAACUAUAGAAUUCCACAAUUAGCAACAGCAGUAGCACAGCUUCCAUAUUCCCCCCCGCCAAAGUCCCUUUCCGCAGGAGCAGGAAGUCUGUUGGUUGCCUCCACAAUUUUGCAUCCUUCACAUUGCCUAGGUACUAGUGGAGAAUAUUCAGAUAAAAUUCUGCAAAGUUUUCUAAAGGGGCGAGAAGAAUAAAAAAUCUCAGGGAGCUUACAGACCCCUCCCCCCACUGUUUUAUGGUGGGAUUCAAUCACUUCUUGUCUAAUUUAGGCUGCACAGUUAAAGCUGAUUCGGAGCUGUUAUGAAACAAACCCAGAAUAUUUUCUCUUUUUUGUGAUAAGUGAUGGGAAAAAUGAAGAAAAAUACUUGCUGCAACAUCAUUUAAUCUCCCCACAGUCAAAUGCUUGUUGAACAGGUUGUCUGGAAUUGACUCAAGAAUGGAACUUUUACCUGAUUGCACAGAUCUCUUUAUCUUUUCAGAAUGUCUUCGCAAACAACCUGAUGUGAAGUACCGGGCCAUCAGUGGCCAGGCAUUUGUUGUGUCGUGUGACGUACCACCAGAGAACCCUGCCUCAAUUUUUAACUUUUCUCAUCUUCAUGAAAGCCAGCUUCAGUGGAUCUGGCAAUCAAGAGAUGGGAGAGACCCCGUGCUUCUCAGAAAAGAAACCAUCAACCCCAGAAUACAGGGAAAUGCCCUUUGGUUUAAUCCAAUAACAGUUCAACAUUCUGGAACAUAUGUCUGCAAGAAUAGGUUGGUUGCCAUGACACAUCUCAGUCAGACCUUUUGUGGAUGUGUGCACUAGUAUUUUGAGAAUUCUACACAGAGCCUAUUUUCUUCAUCAUGAUUACUAUUUACCGUAUUUUUCGCUCUAUAAGACGCACCAGACCACAAGACGCACCUAGUUUUUGGAGGAGGAAAACAAGAAAAAAAAUAUUCUGAAUCUCAGAAGCCAGAACAGCAAGAGGGAUC